rnacentral:rRNA from 1 species
UACGUAGGGUGCAAGCGUUGUCCGGAAUUAUUGGGCGUAAAGAGCUCUUAGGCGGCUUGUCGCGUCGGCUGUGAAAACCUGGGGCUCAACCCCGGGCCUGCAGCCGAUACGGGCAAGCUAGAAUUCGGUAGGGGAGACUGGAAUUCCUGGUGUAGCGGUGAAAUGCGUAGAUAUCUGAAGGAACAUCAGUGGCGAAAGCGACUUCCUGGACCAAUACUGACGCUCAUGUGCGAAAGCGUGGGGAGCAAACAGG